AAGGGGAGGCCUGUCCCUGGCCAAGCAAGUUCCUUAGAAGUAGAUAGUUCAGCCUUUUAGUGGGAACUCGCGGAAGAUCACAGUUCGGUGUUAAGUCCGGAAGAUUCCUGGAAGAGAACCAGUUCAGCCUCUGGCAGGUUGGACCUCAGGCAGGUAGUGGCACAUCAAAAGAGCAGCACAGCAGGUGGCUCCGCUCAAGUGGUGGCAGAUGGUCACAGCCAGCCUUGCUAGGCUGGAAGGAGACCUUUGCUCAUUGCUGAAGAUAUGUCUGUUUAGCUCAGCUUUGUGAAGCCUCGGAACUUGGUCAUAAUCUGAAUGAAUGCCAAGUAGGCCACUGGGCAUCCAACACUCACAAGCCUUCUCAAUGACCUUCUCAGUCACAUAAGCCCUGAGGCAGAUCCGAAGAAAGAGCCGUGUUCUUCUGACAGGCAGAUUGGAAACAAAAUAUCCACUCGCAGUUUGGCAAGAAGGAGAGUACGGACUGAUCUGCAGUGGCCGCUCCAAAUGGCAACUGCUUCAAAACCAAUUCUGCCUCCAUCCCGGCACAGAAAGCAUCCCUCAGCUUGCCUCCUCCCAGCAGAGCAACUGCUUGCAGAUUUGGAGUCAGGUGCAAGACAUGAAGUGGGUUGUCAAAAUAGGUGCCUUGGGUCAGUCCAGGCAGGGGAGGAGGAAGAAGUGCAAAGGAACAAAGGCCAUCGUGGCAAAGAAGGCAUAGGUACAGGAAUGUGAGCUGGCUAGAUACUUUGUAUCUGAAGUCAAGAAGCAGAGAGCAGACAGGAAGUGAGGACCAUUCAUAAACUCUCAAAUCCUACCAAUCUUCUCCUGUGAGACUCCAGCUUCUCAAGAUUCCACAAGUUUUCCAGACAGAGCCAUCAGUUGGAGACCAUGGAGAACAGUUGGAGACCAAACACUUGAGCCUGUGGAAGGCUUUGCAUACUCAUACCACGGUGGAUUCCUGCCCAUGAGACUCUUGGGAUACGGGGAUAGCCCAUUCAUCCUAUGAGAGUUUAGAGACGAGUUUGGGAAAGAAGACCAAGAAAAACCAGGACCACCUUGAAGAAGCCCCUACGAUAAAGGUGAUGAGAAAAGACGCAGCCUCUUUUUCAUUCUUAGGUGGAAGACAUGACAUGGAAUGGGUGAGCAAAGACAUGGCGCAAGCCAAAUGGAAGGUAGUGUGCGUGGAUCUGGUAGAGCCUGGAAGACUUCUUAGAGGAAGAA